GAUGAAGAACGCAGCGAAAUGCGAUAAGUAAUGUGAAUUGCAGAAUUCAGUGAGUCAUCGAAUCUUUGAACGCACCUUGCGCUCCUUGGUAUUCCGAGGAGCAUGCCUGUUUGAGUGUCAUUAAUAUAUCAACCUUCUCUUUUUUGAGUUGUUUGGAUGUGGGGGUUUGCUGGCCUCUUAAAUGAUUCAGCUCCCCUGAAAUGCAUUAGCAGAACAACCUGUUCAUUAGCGUGAUAAUUAUCUAUGCUAUUGAAUGUGAGGGCAGUUCAGCUUUCUAACCGUCCUUGGACAAUUCAUCAUUAAUGUGACCUCAAAUCAGGUAGGACUACCCGCUGAACUUAAGCAUAUCAAUAAGCGGAGGA
rnacentral:misc_RNA from 1 species